UAAAUUUCUUUCUCUUUGAAAACAAUACAUUGCUGGUAUAAUAUAUCGUUGUCCUUUCUAAAUGAUAUAAUUCUUAUAGUGAGUCCGCCUAACUUACCUCUUUAUAGGAAGAAAUGGAGAAAAUUGUGGAAAAGCUACCUCACAAUAUAUUGCAGAGUGAAGAUUUGUAUCAGUACAUACUGGAGACUAGUGUGUACCCACGUGAAUCAGAAUUUCUGAAGGAGCUAAGGCAUGUUACUGCUAGCCAUCCAAAGGCUUUUUACUCUACUGCACCAGAUGUAGGUCAGUUGAUGGCCAUGCUGUUGAAGCUAGUUAAUGCAAAAAGGACUAUUGAGCUUGGAGUUUACACAGGAUACUCUCUUCUCUUCACUGCUCUUACAAUUCCUGAGGAUGGCAAGAUUAUAGCCAUAGAUGUAAAUCGGGAGACAUUUGAGAUUGGGUUGCCGAUUAUUAGGAAAGCUGGUAUUGCAGAAAAAAUUGAUUUCAUUGAGUCGGAAGCUUUACCAGUUCUUGAUCAGCUACUGCAAAAUCAUGAAAACGAAGGGAGUUUUGACUUUGCUUUUGUUGAUGCUGACAAGGUUAAUUACUGGAACUACCAUGAGAGGCUGAUGAAUCUGUUAAAGGUGGGUGGCCUAGUUGUCUAUGAUAACACACUCCGAUGAGGAUCAGUUGUGAUUCCUGAUGCAUUGGUUCCAGAAUUCGGGAGAGAAAUAAGGGAGAAAAUAAUUGAGUUUAACAAAUUAAUUGCCGUUGAUCCUCGUGUCCAAAUUUCACAUGCUUCUUUGGGUGAUGGUAUCACAAUCUGCAGGCGGCGUCUCUAAUGAGGAACUGCUUGGAAGUUGAAACUUCUCUGCAUUUUACUUGUUUGAGUUUGAAUGUAAACGCACCUGAAUUACCUCGCAUAUAUUGUUACUCCUUCAAAUAUUAAUAGUCAUAUGAAGACUGAAAAUCAGUUUGUGAUUUUGGAAUCAUCAGAGCCUCAGGUCACUAAAAGUACAGGUGACUUCACCCACUUCUUCCUUAUGGAUAAAAGGGGGUGAGGAUGGUUUGACAAUUUCUGCCUAGCUAUUAUUAUCAGAAAACAGUGUAUUCCAUUGUCAGCUAAAAUCUCUCUUUUGUGAGGAUGCAA